CCCUUAGAUGUUCGGGGCCGCACGCGCGCUACACUGAAGGACUCAGCGUGUCUCUCCCCCUAUCCCGAAAGGGAUGGGCAACCCGUUGAACCUCCUUCGUGCUAGGGAUUGGGGUUUGCAAUUAUCCCCCAUGAACGAGGAAUUCCCAGUAAGCGCGAGUCAUCAGCUCGCGUUGAUUACGUCCCUGCCCUUUGUACACACCGCCCGUCGCUCCUACCGAUUGAAUGAUCCGAUGAAUAUCAUGGAUUGAGGAUGCAAGUAGGUUAGCCUAUCUUCAUCUUCGAGAAGUGAAGUAAAUCUUAUCAUUUAGAGGAAGGAGAAGUCGUAACA
rnacentral:rRNA from 1 species